rnacentral:rRNA from 1 species
UACGUAGGGUGCAAGCGUUGUCCGGAAUUAUUGGGCGUAAAGAGCUCGUAGGCGGUUUGUCGCGUCUGCUGUGAAAACCCGAGGCUCAACCUCGGGCCUGCAGUGGGUACGGGCAGACUAGAGUGCGGUAGGGGAGAUUGGAACUCCUGGUGUAGCGGUGGAAUGCGCAGAUAUCAGGAGGAACACCGGUGGCGAAGGCGGGUCUCUGGGCAACAACUGACGCUGAGGAGCGAAAGCGUGGGGAGCGAACAGG